GACGAACGCUGGCGGCGUGCUUAACACAUGCAAGUCGAACGAAGAGCGAUGGAUGCUUGCUUCUAUCAAUCUUAGUGGCGAACGGGUGAGUAACGCGUAAUCAACCUGCCCUUCAGAGGGGGACAACAGUUGGAAACGACUGCUAAUACCUCAUACGAUCUGACCUCGGCAUCGAGGAUAGAUGAAAGGUGGCCUCUACAUGUAAGCUAUCACUGAAGGAGGGGAUUGCGUCUGAUUAGCUAGUUGGAGGGGUAACGGCCCACCAAGGCGAUGAUCAGUAGCCGGUCUGAGAGGAUGAACGGCCACAUUGGGACUGAGACACGGCCCAGACUCCUACGGGAGGCAGCAGUGGGGAAUCUUCCGCAAUGGACGAAAGUCUGACGGAGCAACGCCGCGUGAGUGAUGACGGCCUUCGGGUUGUAAAGCUCUGUUAAUCGGGACGAAAGGCCUUUUUGCGAAUAGUGAGAAGGAUUGACGGUACCGGAAGAGAAAGCCACGGCUAACUACGUG
rnacentral:rRNA from 1 species